AACGAACGCUGGCGGCAGGCCUAACACAUGCAAGUCGAGCGAACCGCAAGGUUAGCGGCGGACGGGUGAGUAACGCGUGGGAACGUGCCCUUUGCUACGGAAUAGCCCUGGGAAACUGGGAGCAAUACCGUAUGUGCCCUUUGGGGGAAAGAUUUAUCGGCAAAGGAUCGGCCCGCGUUGGAUUAGGUAGUUGGUGGGGUAAUGGCCUACCAGGCCGACGAUCCAUAGCUGGUUUGAGAGGAUGAUCAGCCACACUGGGACUGAGACACGGCCCAGACUCCUACGGGAGGCAGCAGUGGGGAAUCUUAGACAAUGGGGAAACCCUGAUCUAGCCAUGCCGCGUGAGCGAUGGAGGCCUUAGGGUUGUAAAGCUCUUUCAGUGGGGAAGAUAAUGACGGUACCCACAGAAGAAGCCCCGGCUAACUCCGUGCCAGCCGCCGCGGUAA
rnacentral:rRNA from 1 species